rnacentral:lncRNA from 1 species
CAAUAUACAGCCUUGACAUACUCCUUUUCCUAUUUGGAACCAGUCUGUUGUUCCAUGUCCAGUUCUAACUGUUGCUUCAUAGUUGGGACCAAUUGCUCGUCUUUUCUGCUUAGUCCCCAAGAAGAAAAGACAAUAUUUCUGGAGGUAGAUCGGGAAUAAAUAACCUCUCCUCGGGUGGAUGAGCAGAAGGCCCAGGGGGCAGGUUCAAAGGCUCUCUUAGUCACCCUUGAGAGCCUGUUAAAUUUUGUUCAGUCAUGUGCGAGUGUUGUCAGCAGCUUCCUAGCCUGACUUCUCCCUUCUUGUGACUCAGGUUCUUGAAACUCCGGUUCCUCAGCCUUUUUUUUUUUUUUCAUCAGGAAAUUUAAACCCAACCGUCCCCAGAUCAAGACUGGAACAGCUCCUCCAAUGCUGGGCACUUCUCACCUGCUAACAAGACAGAGGAGCGACCUGGAAAGGUCCAGCCACCUCCUCUCCCAUCCUCUGGCCCCCUUUCUACCACCCGCCUCACACAUGAAAUAGUUUCUCAUCCUCAUCUGUUGGCAGAAACUCCAACUUUAGCACUCCACUUUUUAAAAAUAGAUCACUGUUAAAAUUCCCCCAGAAGGAAUAACCUUAAAAUUAUUAUUAGGCACCGACACGUUGGGGAAAAGAAAGGAAUUCAGCGAUUUUGAAAGAGGAUGUGCUGGAGACGGUUGGGGGUUGGGGAGAUACCUAACUAACAUUUCUUGAGAAGCCGCCUGAUGUCAGAAGCUUCAUGAAUGUGGACAAGGAUUAUCCUCAGCCCCGAAAGGCAACUGGUGUUCUCUUCCAUGUUAAGUGAGACACGUGAAGAAGCCCAGAGAGGCUGAGUCACGCUUAAAAUCACACAGCAGGUUGGACCUGGAGUCUGGACUGGAACCCUGGAGCUAGGAAGGGAGAGACAGCAACCCACACACCGUCUGGCUUUAGCUUCAGAUCACAGAAACGUCACAAACCAUGGUAGUAUCUGCAACUUUGUCCCCGGUGCUCUCCAAGGACCCAGGAACGGGUGGGUCGCACGUGGUUCCUGCCCUCCCAGAGCUGCCCUGAGAGCCCAGGGAGUCCCAGGUAAGGGCGUGAUCUCAGCUGUGAGCAUGCAAGAAGGGCCACUGAGAACCGGUGGGGACCGGAGUCAGGGAGGCG